GACGAACGCUGGCGGCGUGCUUAACACAUGCAAGUCGAACGGAAGGACCCGGCUUUUGUUUGUUUCUCGAUUGCCGAACGGGGGAGUAACACAUGAGUAACCUCCCCUUAACUUUGGGAUAACUUCAGGAAACUGGGUCUCUUACCGGGUAGAAUCUCCUGCUCCAUGUUGUUGGUUGGAAAGUUUCGGCGGUUCGGGAUGUACUCGCGGGUUAUCCGCUGGUUGGUGUGGUAGUUGUUUACCAAGGCUUUGACGGAUAGGCGGCAUGAGAGGGGGGACGGCGACAUGGGGACUGAGAGACGGAGCAGAAUCGUAUGGGAGGCAGUAGUGGGGAAUAUUGCACAACGGGCGGAAGUGUGAGGCAGAAAUGCCGGGUGCGGGAUGACGGCUUUUGGGGGGUAAACCGAUUUGGCAGGUGACGAAGAGUGAGUGACGGUAAUGGGUAAAGAAGCACCGGCUAACUACGUG
rnacentral:rRNA from 1 species